UACGGGGGGGGCAAGCGUUGUUCGGAAUUACUGGGCGUAAAGGGCUCGUAGGUGGCCAACUAAGUCAGACGUGAAAUCCCUCAGCUUAACUGGGGAACUGCGUCUGAUACUGGAUGGCUUGAGUUUGGGAGAGGGAUGCGGAAUUCCAGGUGUAGCGGUGAAAUGCGUAGAUAUCGAGAGGAACACCAGUGGCGAAGGCGAGUCCCUGGACAGAUCCUGACGCUGAGGCACGAAAGCUAGGGGAGCAAACAGG
rnacentral:rRNA from 1 species